rnacentral:rRNA from 1 species
UACGUAGGGUGCAAGCGUUGUUCGGAUUUACUGGGCGUAAAGGGCGCGUAGGCGGUAGCACAAGUCAGUUGUGAAAUCUCCGGGCUUAACUCGGAAAGGUCAACUGAUACUGUGCGACUAGAGUGCAGAAGGGGCAACUGGAAUUCUCGGUGUAGCGGUGAAAUGCGUAGAUAUCGAGAGGAACACCUGCGGCGAAGGCGGGUUGCUGGGCCGACACUGACGCUGAUGCGCGAAAGCCAGGGGAGCGAACGGG